rnacentral:misc_RNA from 1 species
AAUCCAAGGUGCUGAAGUGCACAUAGCUGAAAUCGACCCUGUGGUAAUCUCAGCCUCAGUUCAAGCAAUGGGGUUCCCAUCUUACUCAGUUAUGACUCCAUCUGGUAGCCGUGCACACUCAACUCCUGAUCUUAUCCAAGAAGUUCAAUGGAAAGGCAUUCAUGAGAGGAUUCAAUUACAUGAAUCAGAUGCUGAGAAAUUCCUCCUCGAGAACAAAAAUCUUUAUGAUCUUGUUUUCAUAGACGCAUAUGACGGGGAAGAUAUCUUUCCUCACACCCUAUGGGAUCCACACUCUCCAUUCCUCAAUGCUCUCGCAGACCAACUUCACCCUGAGCAUGGAACUGUUGUCGUAAACCUUCACUCAGAUGUAGACUUCAGGGAUGAUGAUUUCAUUCCACCUGGUUCUCACCUUUUGCCAAUGGGAAAGUAUAUUUCGAA